rnacentral:rRNA from 1 species
GGUUAAGCGACUAAGCGUACACGGUGGAUGCCCUGGCAGUCAGAGGCGAUGAAGGACGUGCUAAUCUGCGAUAAGCGUCGGUAAGGUGAUAUGAACCGUUAUAACCGGCGAUUUCCGAAUGGGGAAACCCAGUGUGUUUCGACACACUAUCAUUAACUGAAUCCAUAGGUUAAUGAGGCGAACCGGGGGAACUGAAACAUCUAAGUACCCCGAGGAAAAGAAAUCAACCGAGAUUCCCCCAGUAGCGGCGAGCGAACGGGGAGCAGCCCAGAGCCUGAAUCAGUGUGUGUGUUAGUGGAAGCGUCUGGAAAGGCGCGCGAUACAGGGUGACAGCCCCGUACACAAAAAUGCACAUGCUGUGAGCUCGAUGAGUAGGGCGGGACACGUGGUAUCCUGUCUGAAUAUGGGGGGACCAUCCUCCAAGGCUAAAUACUCCUGACUGACCGAUAGUGAACCAGUACCGUGAGGGAAAGGCGAAAAGAACCCCGGCGAGGGGAGUGAAAAAGAACCUGAAACCGUGUACGUACAAGCAGUGGGAGCACGCUUAGGCGUGUGACUGCGUACCUUUUGUAUAAUGGGUCAGCGACUUAUAUUCUGUAGCAAGGUUAACCGAAUAGGGGAGCCGAAGGGAAACCGAGUCUUAACUGGGCGUUAAGUUGCAGGGUAUAGACCCGAAACCCGGUGAUCUAGCCAUGGGCAGGUUGAAGGUUGGGUAACACUAACUGGAGGACCGAACCGACUAAUGUUGAAAAAUUAGCGGAUGACUUGUGGCUGGGGGUGAAAGGCCAAUCAAACCGGGAGAUAGCUGGUUCUCCCCGAAAGCUAUUUAGGUAGCGCCUCGUGAAUUCAUCUCCGGGGGUAGAGCACUGUUUCGGCAAGGGGGUCAUCCCGACUUACCAACCCGAUGCAAACUGCGAAUACCGGAGAAUGUUAUCACGGGAGACACACGGCGGGUGCUAACGUCCGUCGUGAAGAGGGAAACAACCCAGACCGCCAGCUAAGGUCCCAAAGUCAUGGUUAAGUGGGAAACGAUGUGGGAAGGCCCAGACAGCCAGGAUGUUGGCUUAGAAGCAGCCAUCAUUUAAAGAAAGCGUAAUAGCUCACUGGUCGAGUCGGCCUGCGCGGAAGAUGUAACGGGGCUAAACCAUGCACCGAAGCUGCGGCAGCGACGCUUAUGCGUUGUUGGGUAGGGGAGCGUUCUGUAAGCCUGCGAAGGUGUGCUGUGAGGCAUGCUGGAGGUAUCAGAAGUGCGAAUGCUGACAUAAGUAACGAUAAAGCGGGUGAAAAGCCCGCUCGCCGGAAGACCAAGGGUUCCUGUCCAACGUUAAUCGGGGCAGGGUGAGUCGACCCCUAAGGCGAGGCCGAAAGGCGUAGUCGAUGGGAAACAGGUUAAUAUUCCUGUACUUGGUGUUACUGCGAAGGGGGGACGGAGAAGGCUAUGUUGGCCGGGCGACGGUUGUCCCGGUUUAAGCGUGUAGGCUGGUUUUCCAGGCAAAUCCGGAAAAUCAAGGCUGAGGCGUGAUGACGAGGCACUACGGUGCUGAAGCAACAAAUGCCCUGCUUCCAGGAAAAGCCUCUAAGCAUCAGGUAACAUCAAAUCGUACCCCAAACCGACACAGGUGGUCAGGUAGAGAAUACCAAGGCGCUUGAGAGAACUCGGGUGAAGGAACUAGGCAAAAUGGUGCCGUAACUUCGGGAGAAGGCACGCUGAUAUGUAGGUGAAGUCCCUCGCGGAUGGAGCUGAAAUCAGUCGAAGAUACCAGCUGGCUGCAACUGUUUAUUAAAAACACAGCACUGUGCAAACACGAAAGUGGACGUAUACGGUGUGACGCCUGCCCGGUGCCGGAAGGUUAAUUGAUGGGGUCAGCGCAAGCGAAGCUCUUGAUCGAAGCCCCGGUAAACGGCGGCCGUAACUAUAACGGUCCUAAGGUAGCGAAAUUCCUUGUCGGGUAAGUUCCGACCUGCACGAAUGGCGUAAUGAUGGCCAGGCUGUCUCCACCCGAGACUCAGUGAAAUUGAACUCGCUGUGAAGAUGCAGUGUACCCGCGGCAAGACGGAAAGACCCCGUGAACCUUUACUAUAGCUUGACACUGAACAUUGAGCCUUGAUGUGUAGGAUAGGUGGGAGGCUUUGAAGUGUGGACGCCAGUCUGCAUGGAGCCGACCUUGAAAUACCACCCUUUAAUGUUUGAUGUUCUAACGUUGACCCGUAAUCCGGGUUGCGGACAGUGUCUGGUGGGUAGUUUGACUGGGGCGGUCUCCUCCUAAAGAGUAACGGAGGAGCACGAAGGUUGGCUAAUCCUGGUCGGACAUCAGGAGGUUAGUGCAAUGGCAUAAGCCAGCUUGACUGCGAGCGUGACGGCGCGAGCAGGUGCGAAAGCAGGUCAUAGUGAUCCGGUGGUUCUGAAUGGAAGGGCCAUCGCUCAACGGAUAAAAGGUACUCCGGGGAUAACAGGCUGAUACCGCCCAAGAGUUCAUAUCGACGGCGGUGUUUGGCACCUCGAUGUCGGCUCAUCACAUCCUGGGGCUGAAGUAGGUCCCAAGGGUAUGGCUGUUCGCCAUUUAAAGUGGUACGCGAGCUGGGUUUAGAACGUCGUGAGACAGUUCGGUCCCUAUCUGCCGUGGGCGCUGGAGAAUUGAGGGGGGCUGCUCCUAGUACGAGAGGACCGGAGUGGACGCAUCACUGGUGUUCGGGUUGUCAUGCCAAUGGCACUGCCCGGUAGCUAAAUGCGGAAGAGAUAAGUGCUGAAAGCAUCUAAGCACGAAACUUGCCCCGAGAUGAGUUCUCCCUGACUCCUUGAGAGUCCUGAAGGAACGUUGAAGACGACGACGUUGAUAGGCCGGAUGUGUAAGCGCAGCGAUGCGUUGAGCUAACCGGUACUAAUGAACCGUGAGGCUUAACCUU